rnacentral:rRNA from 1 species
GCGGCCUAUCAGCUUGUUGGUGAGGUAAUGGCUCACCAAGGCAACGACGGGUAGCCGGCCUGAGAGGGCGACCGGCCACACUGGGACUGAGACACGGCCCAGACUCCUACGGGAGGCAGCAGUGGGGAAUAUUGGGCAAUGGACGUAAGUCUGACCCAGCGACGCCGCGUGCGGGAUGAAGGCCUUCGGGUUGUAAACCGCUUUCAGCAGGGAAGAAGCGAAAGUGACGGUACCUGCAAAAGAAGCACCGGCUAACUAUGUGCCAGCAGCCGCGGUAAUACAUAGGGUGCAAGCGUUGUCCGGAAUUAUUGGGCGUAAAGAGUUCGUAGGUGGUUCGUUACGUCGGAUGUGAAAAUCUGGGGCUCAACCCCAGACCUGCAUUCGAUACGGGCGAGCUAGAGUUUGGUAGGGGAGACUGGAAUUCCU